rnacentral:rRNA from 1 species
UAUUACCAGAAGCGACGGCAGGAUGAAGGUCAGACUAAAGAUCGUUACCUGACGAGCCGAGAGGUUGGUGCAUGGCGACCGUCAGACUCGUGGUGCGAAACUGGUCCGGUUAAGUCCGGGUAACGAGCGAGACCCUUAUGAAUAGUUGCAACCGGUUUAGCGAUAAACCGGGCACUCUAUUUGGACCGCCUCUGUUUAAAGAGGAGGAAGGAGGGGGCGACGAUACGUCAGUAUGCCCUGAAUCUCCUGGGCUACACGCGGCAUACAAAGGUCGAUACAAUGAGAUGCAAUGCCGAAAGGCAAAGCCAAACCCCUAAACCGACCUAAGUUCGGAUUGAGGGCUGAAACUCGCCCUCANAGAA